GAUGAACGCUGGCGGCGUGCUUAACACAUGCAAGUCGAACGGAAAGGCUCCUGCUUGCCGGGGUACUCGAGUGGCGAACGGGUGAGUAACACGUGGGUGAUCUGCCCUGCACUUCGGGAUAAGCCUGGGAAACUGGGUCUAAUACCGGAUAGGACCACAUUUUGGAUGGUGUGGUGGAAAGUUUUUCGGUGUGGGAUGAGCUCGCGGCCUAUCAGCUUGUUGGUGGGGUAAUGGCCUACCAAGGCGUCGACGGGUAGCCGGCCUGGGAGGGUGUACGGCCACAUUGGGACUGAGAUACGGCCCAGACUCCUACGGGAGGCAGCAGUGGGGAAUAUUGCACAAUGGGCGCAAGCCUGAGGCAGCGACGCCGCGUGGGGGAUGACGGCCUUCGGGUUGUAAACUCCUUUCGCUAGGGACGAAGCGUUUUUGUGACGGUACCUGGAGAAGAAGCACCGGCUAACUACGUG
rnacentral:rRNA from 1 species